UAGGGAAUCUUCCACAAUGGGCGAAAGCCUGAUGGAGCAACGCCGCGUGAGUGAUGAAGGCCUUCGGGUUGUAAAACUCUGUCAUUCGGGACGAACCGGAGUCUGAGGAAAUGCAGACUCUCUGACGGUACCGGAGGAGGAAGCCCCGGCUAACUACGUGCCAGCAGCCGCGGUAAUACGUAGGGGGCAAGCGUUGUCCGGAUUCACUGGGCGUAAAGCGCGCGCAGGCGGUGAUGUAAGUCUGAGGUGAAAACCCGAAGCUCAACUUCGGGACUGCCUUGGAUACUGCGUCACCUGAGGAUAGGAGAGGCAAGGGGAAUUCCACGUGUAGCGGUGAAAUGCGUAGAGAUGUGGAGGAACACCUGUGGCGAAGGCGCCUUGCUGGCCUAUUUCUGACGCUGAGGCGCGAAAGCGUGGGGAGCAAACAGG
rnacentral:rRNA from 1 species